CCUACGGGAGACAGCAGUGGGGAAUAUUGGGCAAUGGGCGCAAGCCUGACCCAGCAACGCCGCGUGAAGGAAGAAGGCUUUCGGGUUGUAAACUUCUUUUAAGAGGGAAGAGCAGAAGACGGUACCUCUUGAAUAAGCCACGGCUAACUACGUGCCAGCAGCCGCGGUAAUACGUAGGUGGCAAGCGUUGUCCGGAUUUACUGGGGGUAAAGGGCGUGCAGCCGGGAAGACAAGUCAGAUGUGAAAUCCCGCGGCUCAACCGCGGAACUGCAUUUGAAACUGUUUUUCUUGAGUACCGGAGAGGUCAUCGGAAUUCCUUGUGUAGCGGUGAAAUGCGUAGAUAUAAGGAAGAACACCAGUGGCGAAGGCGGAUGACUGGACGGCAACUGACGGUGAGGCGCGAAAGCGUGGGGAGCAAACAGGAUUAGAUACCCGGGUAGUC
rnacentral:rRNA from 1 species